rnacentral:rRNA from 1 species
AACCGUUUUCGGACGGAUAUAGAGUGGCGAACGGGUGAGUAACACGUGACCAACCUGCCCCUUACUUCGGGACAACCUUGGGAAACCGAGGCUAAUACCGAAUAUUCCUUUUCCCUUUCAUGAGGGAAUCGGGAAAGCCUUGUGCGGUAAGGGAUGGGGUCGCGGCCCAUCAGGUAGACGGCGGGGUAACGGCCCACCGUGCUUUCGACGGGUAGCCGACCUGAGAGGGUGAUCGGCCACAUUGGAACUGAGACACGGUCCAAACUCCUACGGGAGGCAGCAGUGGGGAAUAUUGCACAAUGGGCGAAAGCCUGAUGCAGCAACGCCGCGUGAACGAUGAAGGUCUUCGGAUCGUAAAGUUCUGUCGCAGGGGAAGAUAAUGACGGUACCCUGUGAGGAAGCACCGGCUAACUACGUGCCAGCAGCCGCGGUAAUACGUAGGGUGCUAGCGUUAUCCGGAUUUACUGGGCGUAAAGGGUGCGUAGGUGGUCUUUCAAGUCGGUGGUUAAAGGCUACGGCUCAACCGUAUUAAGCCGCCGAAACUGGAAGACUUGAGUGCAGGAGAGGAAAGUGGAAUUCUCAGUGUAGCGGUGAAAUGCGUAGAUAUUGAGAAGAACACCAGUAGCGAAGGCGGCUUUCUGGACUGUAACUGACACUG